GGCGGCUGUGGGCUGCCUGUGGACGGCAUGCGGACGGCCGAGGCGUCGAUGGAGUGCCUGCGAUGCUUCGCCGCAGGUCAGAACCCCAGGUUCGAAUCCUGGCGCCGCCA
rnacentral:tRNA from 1 species